AGCCUUUGAUGCAAAGUAUAAGAGUAGUGGACAGAACUGAUUUCUGAAAUUUACUUAUUCUGAGGCU